rnacentral:RNase_P_RNA from 1 species
AGAGCGGAUGAUCGCGGCUGCAGGUUCCGCAAGGACGCAGACGAGGAAAGUCCGGGCUUCGCAGGGCAGGAUGCCGGAUAACGUCCGGUAGAGGCGACUCUCAGGCCAGUGCAACAGAAAAGAACCGCCGGCCGUGUGCCGGUAAGGGUGAAAAGGCAGUGUAAGAGACUACCGCUGCCAUGGUAACAUGGCAGGCUGUGUAAACCCCAUCCGAAGCAAGACCAAAACGAAGGCAAUUGCCUUGCCCGGGCAGUCUUCAGGUAGGUCGCUCGAGGCCGCCGGCAACGGCGGCCCUAGACAGAUGAUCAUCACGGGACCCACGGUCCUUUGACAGAACCCGGCUUACAGCUCUGCUUAU